AGGAAAAGAAACCAACAGGGAUUGCCCCAGUAACGGCGAGUGAAGCGGCAACAGCUCAAAUUUGAAAUCUGGCCCCCAGGGCCCGAGUUGUAAUUUGCAGAGGAUGCUUUUGGCGCGGUGCCUUCCGAGUUCCCUGGAACGGGACGCCAUAGAGGGUGAGAGCCCCGUCUGGUCGGACGCCUAGCCUGUGUAAAGCUCCUUCGACGAGUCGAGUAGUUUGGGAAUGCUGCUCUAAAUGGGAGGUAUAUGUCUUCUAAAGCUAAAUACCGGCCAGAGACCGAUAGCGCACAAGUAGAGUGAUCGAAAGAUGAAAAGCACUUUGAAAAGAGGGUUAAAUAGUACGUGAAAUUGUUGAAAGGGAAGCGCUUGUGACCAGACUUGGGCCCGGUGGAUCAUCCAGCGUUCUCGCUGGUGCACUCCGCCGGGUUCAGGCCAGCAUCAGUUCGCCGCGGGGGAAAAAGGCUUCGGGAACGUGGCUCCUACGGGAGUGUUAUAGCCCGUUGCAUAAUACCCUGGGGCGGACUGAGGUUCGCGCUCCGCAAGGAUGCUGGCGUAAUGGUCAUCACGCC
rnacentral:rRNA from 1 species